UGCAGUCGAACGGGCUCUUCGGAGCAAGUGGCGGACGGGUGAGUAACGCGUGAGAAUGUGCCUUGAGGAUGGGGAUAACAAUAGGAAACUAAUGCUAAGACCCAAUGUGCCUUAAGUGGUGAAAAAUGAAAAUUGCCUGAAGAGGAGCUCGCGUCUGAUUAGCUAGUUGGGGUGGUAAAAGCGCACCAAGGCGACGAUCAGUAGCUGGUCUGAGAGGAUGAGCAGCCACACUGGGACUGAGACACGGCCCAGACUCCUACGGGAGGCAGCAGUGGGGAAUUUUCCGCAAUGGGCGAAAGCCUGACGGAGCAAUACCGCGUGAGGGAGGAAGGCUCUUGGGUUGUAAACCUCAAAACUUAGGGAAGAAAAAAAUGACGGUACCUAAUUUAAGCAUCGGCUAACUCCGUGCCAGCAGCCGCGGUAAUACG
rnacentral:rRNA from 1 species